rnacentral:rRNA from 1 species
AGUGAACGCUGGCGGUAGGCCUAACACAUGCAAGUCGAACGGCAGCACAGUAAGAGCUUGCUCUUACGGGUGGCGAGUGGCGGACGGGUGAGGAAUACAUCGGAAUCUACUUUUUCGUGGGGGAUAACGUAGGGAAACUUACGCUAAUACCGCAUACGACCUACGGGUGAAAGCAGGGGAUCUUCGGACCUUGCGCGAUUGAAUGAGCCGAUGUCGGAUUAGCUAGUUGGCGGGGUAAAGGCCCACCAAGGCGACGAUCCGUAGCUGGUCUGAGAGGAUGAUCAGCCACACUGGAACUGAGACACGGUCCAGACUCCUACGGGAGGCAGCAGUGGGGAAUAUUGACAAUGGGCGCAAGCCUGAUCCAGCCAUACCGCGUGGGUGAAGAAGGCCUUCGGGCUGUAAAGCCCUUUUGUUGGGAAAGAAAAGCAGCAGGUUAAUACCCCGCUGUUCUGACGGUACCCAAAGAAUAAGCACCGGCUAACUUCGU